rnacentral:rRNA from 1 species
GACGAACGCUGGCGGCGUGCUUAACACAUGCAAGUCGAACGGAAAGGCCCCGCUUGGGUCGGGUGCGCGAGGGGCGAACGGGUGAGUAACACGAGAGUAACCUGCCCUGGACGUUGGGAUAACGUCAGGAAACUGGGGCCAAUACCGGAUAGGAGCUUCAACUGCAUGGAGGGGGUUGGAAAGUUUCGGCGGUCGGGGAUGGACCCGCGGGUGACCGGCUUGUUGGUGGGGGAGUGGCUUGCCAACGCUGUGACGGAUAGCCGGCCUGAGAGGGUGACCGGCCCCCUGGCGCCUGCGGUAGGGCGCAGUGUCGUACGGGGGACAAUGGUGGGAAAUAUUGCACAGUGAGCGGGCGCGUGAUGCAGCGGCCCUGCGUGCGGGAUGACGGCCUUCGGGUUGUAAACCGCUUUCGCCUAUGACGAAGGGUGAGUGACGGUAACGGAUGAAGAAGCACCGGCUAACUACGUG